rnacentral:lncRNA from 1 species
AGAGUAUAGAAGCCCAAGAGGCGAAACUGUAGUGAUAAGGGCGAAAGUCUAUAGAUGGCGCUGCCGCCAUUUUGGACUGAAAACUGCUGAAAGUCGCUAGAAAAUGCGAGAGAGCAAGUGGGCGAAACGCAAGCAGUGUGCUGCAAUAAACUGCAGCAAUUAUCAAUGCACCAGCCGUGAUUUGGCGUUUCACCGGUUUCCAAGUGAUCCACAAAGGUGUGCCAGGUGGGUCCAAAAUCUUCGGAAUGCAUCCCUUGAUGACAUACCUUCGGAUCGGCUGCAUCAUACCUAUAUAGGGUGUGCAGUGCUCAUUUGCACCAGAGCCAGUUCAAAAGGCCAUCUGAUGUCCAUGGUGGAUUGAAAUGGGAUGCUGUGCCCACAAAUAUCGAUGCCCCUAACCCGCCUCCCCCACUAGACAUCGAGAGGAAGUGCAAACCUCCUAAGACGCGCCAGGAGUUGCCCUGUAAAAAACGCAAGCAGUCAUGUUCCUCCCUCUGAAGAGGAUGGUGUAGCAGGGUCUUCAUCACGGGAGCAGUUCACUGAGGAAG